GAGAUGUCCGAGGGGUGCUCCGCGAGGAGCUGAGAUGGGACCUCGAUCCCGAACCCUUUGAACCUGAUCCGGGUCAUGCCGGCGAAGGGACGGGAACGCCUCAAAGA
rnacentral:ncRNA from 2 species